UGCUGUAUGUUCAAGAAAGUGAAGAAUAAAUUUUCGCAGUAUGUUUUUUUUUGCUCUCUCACGGAACCAAUACAAGCUGGAUUUUCAGAUUUUCCUACCUGCAUACCUAGGCAAAGUCCUGUCUUCUGGAAAAACUACAAAUCAGCGGUUGGAUGCUAAGUAAGAAUCAAAUAAUCCAGCUCCAUUUGAACUAUACUGAAUGGAUAUGAGAGUUUACACAAAGACAACGGGAGAAGAGAAGAAAAAUAAAACCAUAUAAAUGCUUGCAGGGAGCUUUAUGCAUUGUAUAAAGUUUUAACCUACACAA